rnacentral:rRNA from 1 species
AUGCUGAACUUAUCUCUCGUCCAUUUUCACUUAUUUUUUGCGUCGCACUUGACAUUAAUGUUAGAAAAUACGUUGAGCAUUUUUCACAUUAAUGUUGAAGAAUCCUCAGUAGGCCGCACGGAGCAUCCGCAGAGGAUGAGGGGGGAGCCGGCCACGUCGAAAACAACAACUAGGCGCAAGCGAGUUCCAUUUAUUCUUCACCAAAAGCAAAGGGAAAAACCGCAGCUUUCGCCAUGGCUUUUUUGCGGUUUUGCUCCUCCUGCCCCACUACCACCACCCUCGCCCCCAUAUUCUAGCCCCCCGUUGAUCCCCUGCUUCUCGUCUCCUUCUACAGUUCCGCCCUCCCCUCCCUCGCCCCCGUGCUCCGCCUUCUCUGCUUGCUUGCCUGGCCCUGCCGCCUCAGGCGGCUCACGCCAAUGCUGUGCCGCCUCCCGUCGAACCUGCCCCCCGCGCUGCUCCUUUGACCUCCCGUAA